GUGCAGCAGGCGAGAAUCCUCCACAAUGCGCGAAAGCGUGAUGGGGGAGGUCUGAGUGCCAUCUCUACAAGGGGAUGGCUUUUGUCGAGCCUAAAAAGACUCGGCGAAUAAGGGCUGGGUAAGACCGGUGCCAGCCGCCGCGGUAACACCGGCGGCCCGACUGGUGACCACUACUACUGGGCCUAAAGCGUCCGUAACCGGACCUGUAAAUCCUUAGUGAAAUCCGCCGGCUCAACCGGCGGGCGUGCUUAGGAGACUGCAGGGUCUUGGGACCGGGAGGGGGUGGGGGUACGUGCCCCGGGUAGGGGUAAAAGUCCUAUAAAUGCGGGUAGGACCACCGGUAGCGAAGGCGCCCACCUGGAACGGGUCCGACGGCGAGGGACGAAGGCCAGGGGAGCGAACGGGAUUAGAUACCCGCGUAGU
rnacentral:rRNA from 1 species